CUGGCUCCGCCUAUUGCAAAGAUGGAUAAAAUUGUAUCUCCUUCUUUUUCCAAUUAAGUUGUAUAAGAACAAUUCUUCUCAAUUGUUAAUAUCGAGAAGUUUGGUGCCAAUUGCUAAAAUUUCAAGUCAAUUAGCCAUAAAUAUGAUGGUUUUCUGAGAAUCCGACAACUGCUAAUAACAAAGAUGGAAUAUUCGGUUUACUUUCCCUCUAAUUUUGAAGAUUUUGGAAAAUUGGUGCUAAUGCAGUGAGCUAUUUCUCAACUUAAUCCUUUCUUGUAUCAUAUGCUUGCCUUCUUUGUGCAGAGAAGAAAAGUGCAAUUAACAUCAUUCUUCUUCUCUUCCCCUCUUUUUUUUUGGGUGAGGGUUUGUCCCUAUUUCCCUGUAAUGGAAUCAAUUGGAAUAACUUUCCUACUAUGCCAGUAUUCAUGAUGCAUGAUUUCCUUUGGAUCUGUUGAACUUAUAUUGAUCAAGAAUUCAGCAUAUCCUCCUUUUGGAGGAUGGAAGGCCAAGUCAAAUCUUAGAAGGGAGUUUGGAUCACGAUGGGGAUCAUCUUGCCAUAACAGCAACUGAUGCAGAAUCUGUAAAUGAGGUUUCACCACGGGGUUGGAGAGAAGUGCCUGGGAAUGGUUGGUCGUUGCAUUUCAAUUCAGCUGAGCAGAGUGACUCAUUCGAGGGUAGGGUUAUCUCAGUCAAGUGGGGAAAUAAAACCAAAAAAAUCGGUAUUGAUGGCACAGCGGAAGCCAUGAAGGAAGCUAUUAAAUCUUCUUUCAUGUUAAGGACAAAACGCCCAUUUUGGUUGGAAGAUGAAAAUAUGAUUGUUCGAGCAGUGGAUAGAGAUAUGCCAUUGAGGAACUACACUUUACAUGUUGACGAAGGCUUGACGAUAAAAGUUUGCAUGUCUGAGGAUGCCGAUGUCUUGCCAGUUCAAACACAGGAUAAAACCUUUUAUUCUGAUG